AUUACUUUGGCAGAAAUUUUAAGUGCAUUAAAUUUAGAAUUUAAUUAUAUAAUAGUUUAUAAGUAAUA
rnacentral:tRNA from 1 species